rnacentral:rRNA from 1 species
UACGUAGGGUGCGAGCGUUAAUCGGAAUUACUGGGCGUAAAGCGUGCGCAGGCGGUUCGUUGUGUCUGUGGUGAAAGCCCCGGGCUUAACCUGGGAAUGGCCAUGGAAACUGGCGAGCUGGAGUGUGGCAGAGGGGGGUGGAAUUCCGCGUGUAGCAGUGAAAUGUGUAGAGAUGCGGAGGAACACCGAUGGCGAAGGCAGCCCCCUGGGUUGACACUGACGCUCAGGCACGAAAGCGUGGGGAGCAAACAGG